CUCUUUCAGGGGGCUUCAAUUUGUAACCUAUAGUCCUUCUGUGGGAGCUAAUGAAAAGUGUGUAGAAGGGGGGAAGACAGGGCCACAUUUUCAUGUUGGAGCCACAACUCUGGAACAGUAUGGGGUGUGGAUCGAAGAGGGGCGAGGCUGGACCCCUGACGCUGCUGUUGGAAAGAUAGGAGCUACCGUGAGGACCUGCCGCCGCCCCCCCCCCCCCCCCAGCCUCUCUGGCGGGUGGAGGCGGGGCACUUAGGAGACCCAGUCAGGAGGCUGUGGUUAGUGACUGGGUGGUGGAGGUGAGGCAAGGGCGGGAUCUAGAAUGCCUUCCCGGUUUCUGGCUCAGAUAGCAGAUUCUCCAGGCCAGGGGUGAAGGAAGAGGAAAUGAGUUGGGGUGGAAGAUGGGGAAUUCAAUUUGGCAGAAAAGGCACUUAAUAUUUGUGCCCUCCUUCUUUACCUGAGACAUUGGGAGCUGUGGAUCUGGGGCUCGGGAAGGUGGUCGGGGCGCAGGUCAGGAUUUGGAAGUCAUCAGGGCAAAAGGUGGGACCCAAAAGCCAAGCAGGAGAUGCCGUUGUGCAUUUGAAUCCUAUGCGGAAGUUGGAAACACUUUCAUAUUAUUGAGGUAGUCACGGGUAUACAGGAAAUGGGCAUUAGGUAUCGUUUAUAGAAUAAAAUUCUUUGAAAGUUAGUGUCUCGGUGACUGUAGGCUCAGGAUUUUCUAACAUUCUGUCUACUCUUGUUACAAAGAAUUAAACUAAUUCUUUCUUAGCAACUAAGAAAAAAUAGAGCAUCCUUAUUGCUUCUCUCAGACUGCCUCAAAGUGAUACAGAAAUUCUUCAUUCAGUAUUGUUUUGUGUAGUGACUCCAUUUAUCUAAAGGUUUAUUGGGUUGAUACUGCAAAGGAGAUUCAUGCAUUUACUCAGUAAGUUGUUUGUUGAAUACCAGCCGUGCGCUAACUAAACGUGUGGGGAGAUGGUAAUGAAACAAAACAAUGGCUCUGCCUUCUGGAGCUUAUAAUCUCAAGGAGGAGACAUCCGUAAACAAUAAACAAAUAGACUUAUAGGUGCUUCUAAGUGUUAUGAAGAAAAUUAAAUCCAAGGCAAGGAGAAAGAGAGCGUCGAGGGUGUUGUCUAGACGGCGUGAUGAGAAGGCUUUUUUUGAGGAGCAGCCAUUCGAGUAGAAGCCUGAGUGGAAGUGAUGGAGUGAGCCAUGUGGGUAUCUAGGGGAACAGUGUUGGAGGGAGAGGGAAUAGUAGGUGCAAGGACCCUGAAGAAUGGCAAGGAGGCCGGCGGGCCCGAAGGGGUAGGACACGAGGGGAGAGGUUUUGCUGGCUCUCUGUGGUAUAUUUGCCUUCACUCCAAGGUGAGGACAGUUGUGGUCACUCUCCACGGCCUCCCUGGAGGGAGACUGCGUUCCUGGGUCGGUUAGUGGCAGGUCCCGUGAGAAGCAGCAGUGGACUGUGAGCCGGAGGCCCCCGGUCCUGCCGGUAGCAGUCGGGGGAGCCAUGUUCCCACCCGGCUGGGAUCACUCCUUUCGAUGGAGAACAGAUUUUCUGUCAGUCCUUGAAA